rnacentral:rRNA from 1 species
UACGUAGGGUGCGAGCGUUAAUCGGAAUUACUGGGCGUAGAGCGUGCGCAGGCGGUUCGUCGUGUCCGAUGUGAAAGCCCCGGGCUCAACCUGGGAAUGGCAUUGGAAACUGGCGGACUCGAGUGUGGCAGAGGGGGGUGGAAUUCCGCGUGUAGCAGUGAAAUGCGUAGAGAUGCGGAGGAACACCGAUGGCGAAGGCAGCCCCCUGGGCUAACACUGACGCUCAGGCACGAAAGCGUGGGGAGCAAACAGG